UAGUCCACGCCGUAAACGAUGGACACUAGUUGUUGGGUUUAUUCUCAGUGACUAAGCGAAAGUGAUAAGUGUCCCACCUGGGGAGUACGAUCGCAAGAUUGAAACUCAAAGGAAUUGACGGGGGCCCGCACAAGCGGUGGAGCAUGUGGUUUAAUUCGAUGAUACGCGAGGAACCUUACCAGGGCUUAAAUGUAGACUGACAGGGCUAGAGAUAGCUUUUUCUUCGGACAGUUUACAAGGUGCUGCAUGGUUGUCGUCAGCUCGUGCCGUGAGGUGUCAGGUUAAGUCCUAUAACGAGCGCAGCCCCUGUCGUUAGUUGCCAUCAAGUAAAGUUGGGGACUCUAGCGAGACUGCCGGUGCAAACCGCGAGGAAGGUGGGGAUGACGUCAAAUCAUCACGGCCCUUACGUCCUGGGCUACACACGUGCUACAAUGGUAUAGACAAUGAGCAGCCAGUGGGCAACCACGAGCGAAUCUAUAAACUAUAUCACAGUUCGGAUCGGAGU
rnacentral:rRNA from 1 species